AGAACGAACGCUGGCGGCAUGCCUAACACAUGCAAGUCGAACGAGACCUUCGGGUCUAGUGGCGCACGGGUGCGUAACGCGUGGGAAUCUGCCCUUAGGUACGGAAUAACAGUGAGAAAUUACUGCUAAUACCGUAUGAUGUCUUCGGACCAAAGAUUUAUCGCCUAGGGAUGAGCCCGCGUAGGAUUAGCUAGUUGGUGGGGUAAAGCCUACCAAGGCGACGAUCCUUAGCUGGUCUGAGAGGAUGAUCAGCCACACUGGGACUGAGACACGGCCCAGACUCCUACGGGAGGCAGCAGUGGGGAAUAUUGGACAAUGGGCGAAAGCCUGAUCCAGCAAUGCCGCGUGAGUGAAGAAGGCCUUCGGGUUGUAAAGCUCUUUUACCCGGGAAGAUAAUGACUGUACCGGGAGAAUAAGCCCCGGCUAACUCCGCGCCAGCAGCCGC
rnacentral:rRNA from 1 species